rnacentral:tRNA from 1 species
GAGGGUAUAGCUCAGUGGUAGAACAUGUGCUUAGCAUGCAUGAGGUCCUGGGUUCAAUCCCCAGCACCUCCA